rnacentral:rRNA from 1 species
GGAUGAACGCUAGCGGCAGGCCUAACACAUGCAAGUCGAGGGGUAUAGAUAGCUUGCUAUCUAGAGACCGGCGCACGGGUGAGUAACGCGUAUGCAACCUACCUUAUACAGGUGAAUAGCCCGGAGAAAUUCGGAUUAAUGCACCAUGGUUUAAUUUUGUGGCAUCUCAWGAUUAAUAAAGAUUUAUCGGUAUAAGAUGGGCAUGCGUAUCAUUAGCUAGUUGGUGUGGUAACGGCAUACCAAGGCAACGAUGAUUAGGGGUCCUGAGAGGGAGAUCCCCCACACUGGUACUGAGACACGGACCAGACUCCUACGGGAGGCAGCAGUGAGGAAUAUUGGUCAAUGGAGGCAACUCUGAACCAGCCAUGCCGCGUGCAGGAAGAAUGUCCUAUGGAUUGUAAACUGCUUUUGUACGGGAAGAAACAUCRCUACGUGUAGYGACUUGACGGUACCGUAAGAAUAAGGAUCGGCUAACUCCGU